rnacentral:rRNA from 1 species
CCUACGGGAGGCAGCAGUGAGGAAUAUUGGUCAAUGGGCGCGAGCCUGAACCAGCCAAGUCGCGUGCGGGAAGACGGUCCUAUGGAUUGUAAACCUCUUUUGUCGGGGAGCAAAAGACGCCACGCGUGGCGUUCCGAGAGUACCCGAAGAAAAAGCAUCGGCUAACUCCGUGCCAGCAGCCGCGGUAAUACGGAGGAUGCGAGUGUUACACGGAUUUAUUGGGUUUAAAGGGUGCGCAGGCGGCAGCUAAAGUCAGCGGGAAAAUUGGGGGGCUCAACCUCGUCGCGCCGUUGAAACGGGGUUUCUUGAGUGAGGGAGAGGUAUGCGGAAUGCGUGGUGUAGCGGUGAAAUGCAUAGAUAUCACGAAGAACUCCGAUUGCGAAGGCAGCAUACCGGCGCUCAACUGACGCUCAGGCACGAAAGUGUGGGUAUCGAACAGGAUUAGAUACCCCUGUAGUC